AGAUUGACUCCAACGUGCUCUUCUUUCAGAGUCUGAGUGUGCUUGUGGGGGCAGCAGUGCCGAAGGCCAGACCAGUGCUGGAAUCCCAGCUGGAGCAGCUGCUGACCAUGGUCCACGCCCAGGUUUGUGCUUCUUUCAAAUGUCCUGGGAAACCAGAGGAGGAGAGAAGCGCAUCCUUAGUGCUGAGGUUCUGCGUCUUAGCUGGGGAGUUUCCAGGGAGGGUGCUGGAAUUCUGCAUGUCCCAGCUGGAAAAUCUGGAGGAGCAUAACCAACUAGGCAGCCUGACCAUCCUUGCGAGGCUUGACUGUCUUUUCCCAAAUUGGAAACUCAUCCUUCCUAACAGGAGUGUCGAUUUUAUUUAGGAACGGUUGAGAAUUAUUCAUCAGAGUUGAUAGGGUGUGAGACUGUAGUCCUCCGUAGCCAUGAGAUGAACCCCGAUUCCUUGUCACUUCUUAGUCCUCUUCAUCUGCUGCGUCUGGUCAAGCUGCUUGGACCAGGGCUGCACUCACAGGGUUGUGUGUUUUUUCAGUCUGUGUCAAGGAGACCCUGAAGGAGUAUGUCCUCAUGAGCUUUGUGGCAUCCCUUCACAACCCCAGCAAUCAGGUGAAGUAUCUGGAGUCGCAGGUCCUGAUUGAAAUGGGGCAGAAGGGCUACCUGGGGCUGGGGUGCAGAGUCUUAGCUCUGGAGUACACAGUAAAGAACUGUGCCCUUGCAGAUGACACCACCCAGGCCGAGCAGAGUGUGAGCAGCAGCACUGUGAGGCAGAGCUUUGAGGCUGUGCUGGCCUGCUGGUGUGCCGAUGAGAGUGUGACUGAAAUGCUGUGGCCUGUGUACCUGCUGAGGUUCCUCACCUGGAGGAGUUAUAGCAACGCUCUGCCCACACUGUGCCAGAACCUCAGUGUGCUGCACAGGAGGCUGAGGGAGAACAGCCCCUCCUUCCUGUGCGACUUUGAUGAGCUUGGUUAGUAUCGAGGAUCCGAUGGAGUGUCUCAAAUUUGUCAUAUUUGCUCCUUGGUUCUGGGACUGUGUGGAGCCACAUGGGAGAGGGUGCCCCCACUGUAUUGAAUUCUAAAAUUGAUAGCAGAAAGGCCAAGUUAAUGAAAAGCUUUAAGUAUUUAAAAAUUCCAUGUUUUGAAUUUUGACAUCAUUUUGCAUAAGCAUUUUCCAUCCUUAACUGUGAUUAAGGAUAUGGGAAACUGGGCCAGUGGGGGUGAUUCCUUUCUUGAUCCAGUGUGAACUGGGGGAAAAAGUGCAUCAGUGAAGCCAGUGAUUCAGUAUUCAGUGUAGACAGCAGCUAGAGAGCCGUGCACACUGAUACCCAGCAGUGAUGUGCAGGCCCGAGCUGAAGUUCUGUGCUGACAUCUGCUUGCCAGCUUGGAGCAUCCCAGCCGCACAGAGGUGGGACUGAGUGCCUGAGCCUCCUGCAGUCCCUGGGCUCAGUGAUCCAUCCCCAGCUGCCCAGUGUCUGGGAGCCGCUCAUCCCACCUCUGGCCAGGUGUACCUCACAGCACAACAGGACAGAUCUGCAAAGAGAUAUGUCUGAGAGAGCACUCAGCUGCUCCCGAGAGUACACCACGAUAAGUGUAGAAGUCUGUAGCAGAAUUAUAUGAUUUCUCUCUGGGAGUUUUAGGUGCGUUUUGAGGAUUAAUCAGAUUUGGAAUCUUUCAGUGUUGCAUUAGAAUCAGUGUCAUAUCUUCUGCUGAGCACAGGUUUUGUCCUUAUGGCAGCAUUACCUGAGCAGAUCUCCAUCCCACUGUCCAGAACUGUACAGGAUACAGCAUAUCAGAUGGGAGAUUUACAUUUAUCGACACCACCAUGUCCAUAAUGUCACUCAUCUGUGUUUUCUUAUGUUCAGUUACAGCUAUUCUCCCUCAAUAAGCUCUGAGCUGCUACAGGCCCUAUCUAAGUGCUGAGUUUUUUGUGUGUUGUGUUUCAGAAUUUCCAGCAGUGGCAGGAUGGGCUGAUUGUGGUAUGUAGUGAGAGAGGGGAUUGUUAACACACACAGUGAGAGGGAGGGGGCACACACAGGGAAAGUGAUCUUCUUCCUCUGUUAGGUAAUGUCAUGUCAUUCAAAUGCAGUGACAGAUGUCUUGAACUUCCUCUCCUGGCUUGCUGUGGAUUCAAGAGAAUAAUCUAUCUUCUCUUGUUUUGGAUAAUUUGCUAAAUAUUAUUGUUAAACAUUUAAAGGUAAAUGUUAAAUUUAGAGAUUUUGAUAUUAUUUUAUAUUUUGUUACACCUGAUUUGGAAAGGUUUUUUUAUUUAAAUUCUAGUAAUUUAAAGAAUCAAAAGGCAAGACAUACAAUGGAAAUAUGUAAAAAGCACAAUUGUUAUUGUGAAUUCCUCUGGCUGUGAAGUGUGUCUAUUUCUGUAUCUCUUUUAAUAUUUUGUCUCCUUUUUUGUAUUUCU
rnacentral:lncRNA from 1 species